UACGGAGGGUGCAAGCGUUGUCCGGAUUUAUUGGGUUAAAGGGUGCGUAGGCGGCCCGGUAAGUCAGUGGUGAAAGCCUCCAGCUCAACUGGAGAACUGCCAUUGAUACUGCCGGGCUUGAGUACAGACGAGGUUGGCGGAAUUGAUUGUGUAGCGGUGAAAUGCAUAGAUACAAUCAAGAACUCCGAUUGCGUAGGCAGCUAACUAGGCUGUAACUGACGCUGAGGCACGAAAGCGUGGGGGAGCGAACAGG
rnacentral:rRNA from 1 species